GUGAAUUAAACAUGCUUGGUGUCUUCGCUUCGGCAAGGCCCUUGCUUAAAUCACAUCCUAACACCUGUGAACUGUAAGACGUAUGACGAGGUCUUUGGCCAAGUCAUCGUCUGCCCAUUUUUAACAAACAAUUAAUGUAACAAACGUAGUCUUAUUAUAACCUAAUA
rnacentral:misc_RNA from 1 species